AGGUUUUCCACUGGGAGAACAAUUUCUACAUGCUAAAUUGAAAUGUAUUGUCCAGUGUCUUGCGAUGUCAUUCUUUCAUUAUUCAAGCCCUUGAACACAGAACAAGGAAACAAGGAUAUUUCGGAGUCCCAGUUUCACUGCCUUCGUGGACGCUGGAGCCACUGCCACCUUUACUAUGUGUGUGGUUAGGGUAUAGAUCAAACUACAAUUCAACAAUGGUCAUCUACACCAUCAGAUCUCCGACUAUAAAACUCCAUGCUAAUGUUCCAUAUUCCUCUUUUCUGCUAAUUUUUAGAGUUUAUCCUUUUAUGAAUUACCUAAUUUCAGUCACAAGUGACAAAUAUCAGUCUAUUUGUUAACAUCUCCUUCUCCAUCAAGGUUUAUAAAUUGACUUAAGAGUAUGUAUGUGCCCCUAUCAUUUUUUUGGUUCAUCAACAUAUGAAGUAAUCAACCGUUCGAAUGAGGGAUUAGGAGUACAUCAUCUAAAAUAUUUCUAUUCCCAGUUAAAUGUGUACUGAUAAAUUUAACUAUCAAAGUCAUUGUAGUGAGAAAAAAUUUUGUUCUUAUUUGCAGGCAUUGUGUGGCGAUGAACACAUGACCAGCAAGGGGCCCUGCCCCCCUCCCAAUACUAUGGAUUUGUUCAUAAUAAACACAUGAACAAUGCAGCAUUUGCCUUGUUUUCUGCUCCAACCGGCCCUCCCCAACAUCCUAAUCCCACUAAUCCCGCCUCCGCCACUGCAGGCAUGCCGGCCUUUUCUUAAUUGCUAUACUUUUGAGGACGCAUCACUAAAAAAACUAAAAGAGGUUUCAUGGCAAUGAUGAAGUGCUACCAAAUUAUGUUCCAAGAAAAAUGAUUUCUACUUCAACUUGACUACAUGCAUGUUAAAUUGUUGACCCGAUUUGACGGACUAUAUAAGUGCUCUUCUCCUUGGGAAUUUGAAAGCACGCCCCUUCUAAGCAUCGCACAAUAUAUAUGCUUAUAUAUGUGGUAGCAGUCAUUGGUACAAGCAUAUGUGCAUUAGACCAGAAAAAAGGUUUCAAACUCGCAGAGCAUAUUGAAGGUGGUACAAAUCAUUGCAGAGUGAAUUACAAGUAGCUAUAUGUGGAUUGGAAUUUACUGAAGCUUUGCAUAUUCAAAAUUUUAAGUUAAAUGAGACGUGCAUUGCACGUGCAAGGUUACUAGUGGUAGUAAAGGAGCAGGCGAACAAGACGGUAAGAAAGGGAUCCCACCCGGUGCUGAGCCCUCUCUCCAACCGUGCGAGCGAACGCAUGGGAAGUCAAAAAGCAUGCACCGUGCGUGCAUCAUCUGCGGUGGUUAAGAGAUGGACUGACACAUGCUCACACGUUGCUGCCUUUUCGCACUAUGACUGGUGGGCCGAGUUGGCUGCUGGUCCCACGGGUAUGUGCCUUGCCUUUGUUCUCGCUCGUGUAUCAUCUGGGGUUGGAGAGAGCCGGCUCGUGGGUCGUGCGUCGUGUCGUGCGCCAUGCCGGGUCCUGCGGCUGGGUGUGGGUGUUCGCUUUUGAUGCAGCGCUGAACGUGCAGCGAAGACAGUGUUCCCUCCCGUCCCAAGCCGUGCACCCCCUCCUUCCCUCUCUCCUCCUUUCUCCUCCCUAGCCACCGAUCUGCCUUCUCGUCUCGCUGCUUCGUCUCCUCCACCGCCUUGUCUCCGGCCGCUGGCCUCCCGGCAGCCCUACCUCACAACAUGUUUCUCGAGGAGCAACGCGAGCAAGGCCAGCAUACGAAAGGAGUGGAUCGAGGCUUCGCACGCUGGCUCCGUCAUCUGCUUCGCCACGUUCUGGAUUCGCGCCGCCGUGUGUGAUGGUUCUAGAUCAGUGCAGGUCAUCGCCGCGGGAUAUCAGGGGCGGUGGGUUCUUCACAUCGAGGGUUGGCAAGCUGGGGAGGGUCAAGAGGCUGACAUGGCAUGUUUAGAGCAGCGAGGUCGGCUGUAGGGGAGCGGCUACCCCGGAGCUUCAGACUGCGCACGCGUGGCGAGUUUGGCUAUGGGGGUGCGGUUGCCCAGAGCUCGGUUGCGCACGCCUCAUGGGAUCUUGUCUCACCUGGCACUCGAUGCCGGCCUCGUCGGCUUCCCGAGGUGACAGAACGACGGUCACACUCGACACCCUCUUUCAUGAUUCGACGACAACCGGCUCAUACGGCAGCCUCAGCGGGUAGCUGACGACGACUGCAGCUGGUGCACGAGCUCUCAGUCGACAUAUCCACACUCGACUCCUCGUCUCAGUACCAGCUCUUGCAGCAUGUUCGAAGUUUUCUCUUUUUUCCAUUCUUCAUUUGUUUGACCUGGUUCUGCUCGGGUGGAUACAGGGUGCGGAGUGCGGACUAAGAGUUGGAUGCUCUGUGCUAGCAUAUAGAAGUGUUGCAACCACCACUGUUCCGGCUGUGAGGUAUAAUGCAAAUUGGGCUUGUGAAUUAAUCAUGUCUGGGAAUGGAUUGCCUAAUUGUUGGGGUUUCUCAGUAUGUAAUUUCUUUUACUCAUUGUAGAUUCUUAAUUCGGUGGUUCUUGAUUGCAACCUGGGGUCAUCCUGUUCCUACUCACAUGUUACAGUAGUGUUUUGUAUAAUAUACCCAACCUCUCGCUCCUGAAAAUUACCCGUCUUCUCUGAUGCACGCGGGUCACUGGAGGAGAGGGGGUCUGGCUUGUGAGUUUCGCCGAUGCGGUCACAACGGCGAUGCCAAACUCUGAGGAGAUACUAAAGGUGUACUGGGAGGCGGUGCUUCCUGGAAUCCCAAUGCCUCCACCUAUUAUCAACCUGAUGUUAGCCCAGCAAAAUGGUAUCUCUCUCCUUCCCUCCCUCCCUCCCUUCCCACCUUGGUGACCUCAUUUAAGUGGUUUUGAUAAUUGGUGGUACAACUUUCCCUCUUUGAUACCUACAAAUUCUUUAUAACGACUCUUAGUUUGCAAUCCAUUAUGGAACAUAAAUGAACAUACUAGAUGUGAAUCUUUUGUUAUGAUGAAUGAUAAAUGUUUGACUUAAAGCAUAGACUAUCGCAUAUACAAUACAAUAUGUGUACCACAAAGGAUAAAUUAACCUUUUCUCUACCGGUGAACUGAGAGCUUACAGUGGCUAAUUUGAUAAGAAGCAUAGUACUUGUAUCGUUCAGAAAAUGACCCUUCUGUACUUCAUUUUCAGGGAUAGUCCUAUUGUGCUUUGUUUUUAUAUGAUCUAAAACUACAGAGUUCUUGUGCAGUUCAGAUGUUCUGUUUUGUACGAAUUUUACUAUAUCUGAACUUCUGAAAUUAGUAUAAGUCUAACAGCCUUGCAACCAAACCAAAACUAAAACUGCAGGGAUCUUGUGACAGCCUUGCAACCAAAACUAGAACUACAGGGAUCUUGUGUAGUUGAAAGCUAGCUGUCGUUUGUUGGAAUAUCAAUUAUCUUGUUUGUGCACGAUUAACCUGCUUAUCAUGAAAAGGUAGAAUAUUUUAGGACAGACCAUCAAGUUGGUUGGGAUUUGUUUAGAUCUUUAUGAGAAGCAGCUCUUCUCAGUGGGACUUUUCUUUUUUAUCCAGCCUAAACAUAUUCAGCCUUUCACCUAAAAUGUUAUUACUUUCUCAUGUCCUACUUUUUGUUACACGAUGUUCAAGAAAGAAUUAUGGAUCAUUUUGUCAUGAAGCAUGAUCAGUGCCACCUCUUUCUUCUGUGUAGUGCUAGGCUAGAUUGGUAUUCUCUUUACUGCUCCAGUUGGAUUAUAUCUCAAACUUCUCUUGUUCCUAUGCUGAGAUUCUCCUAGCCAGUGGCAAGGGUACAUACUGCCUCAUCUUCUUUUUUCCUUUACAUUUUUCUUCGAUUGGAAGGAGUGGAUUACUGCCACCAAGUUCUUGGAUAAAAUGAAGAAAGAUAUGUAUGACGUCAUGUCAGUUAUUUUGUUUUACAACAAAAUGGAUAGUUCAUGUAUUCCCUACCGAGCAAGAUUUAUGUUGAGGUGUGGCAUCUA